AAUAGAUACCCAGGUAGUCCACGCCGUAAACGUUGGGCGCUAGGUGUGGGGCUCAUUCCACGAGUUCCGUGCCGCAGCUAACGCAUUAAGCGCCCCGCCUGGGGAGUACGGCCGCAAGGCUAAAACUCAAAGGAAUUGACGGGGGCCCGCACAAGCGGCGGAGCAUGUUGCUUAAUUCGAUGCAACGCGAAGAACCUUACCUAGGCUUGACAUGCACGGAAAUCUCGCAGAGAUGCGGGGUCCGUAAGGGCCGUGCACAGGUGGUGCAUGGUUGUCGUCAGCUCGUGUCGUGAGAUGUUGGGUUAAGUCCCGCAACGAGCGCAACCCUCGUUCUAUGUUGCCAGCACAUAAUGGUGGGGACUCAUAGGAGACUGCCGGGGUCAACUCGGAGGAAGGUGGGGAUGACGUCAAAUCAUCAUGCCCCUUAUGUCUAGGGCUGCAAACAUGCUACAAUGGCCGGUACAAAGGGCUGCGAUACCGCGAGGUGGAGCGAAUCCCGAAAAAGCCGGUCUCAGUUCGGAUUGGGGUCG
rnacentral:rRNA from 1 species